CACACAGCAAAAAAGUCUCAGCUGAGGCCAAUCUCUCGUUAACUAUUAGCACUUCUGAUGAUUUUUAGGCAUUAGUACCAACACCUCCUUCCGAGGGGUGAGACACGGAGGCAGAGAAGUUGGAGAAUGGUGUGCUGAGGCCCCGUGGCAGAGCUCAGCAGGGGCAAUGGUCCCUCACUCGCAGCCACCAGAGAAGGAGGGGUCAGGAAGAACAGGAAGUUGGUGAAACCCGUGCUGAGGCGACAGGAUCCAGUAACGACCACAACGCAUCGAAUCCUCCGUUGGGAGGGGGGAGAGGAUUUCUGGAGUCGCCCAAACACGUCCACCGGUGCCACGGCUCACCGUUAAUAAGAUCACCAAAUUCUUGCAUAAAGGUGGUUUCUGAAGGGAAGCGACUCGGUUCCAAGAAAUGCAGCAAGCUGAAGAGCUCUUCCACAGUGUUCUGGAGAGGCGUCCCCGUCAGCAGCACUUUGUGUUCCUGCAGGUGCGCAAGGAAGGCAACUGAACAGAAAGUUUCCUAAAACGAAACCUUCUCCCCUGGGGCGCCUGGGACGUUCAGUCAGUCAAGUGCCCAACUCCUGAUUUUGGCUCGGAUCAUGAUCUCGGGAACGCGGGUUCAGGCCCCAGACGGGCUCCGUGCUUAGAGAGGACUCUGCUUGAGAUUCUCGCCCUCUCCCUUCCCUCUCUGCCCUGAUCGCACACAUGCUCUAUCUCUCUCAAAUGAAUGAAAUGUUUAAAAAUAAAUAAAUGAAGCCAAAACCUCUCUCUAGA